rnacentral:tRNA from 2 species
GCACCCGUAGCUCAGCUGGAUAGAGUACCAGACUACGAAUCUGGGGGUCAGGAGUUCGAAUCUCUUCGGGUGCACCA